rnacentral:rRNA from 1 species
CCUACGGGUGGCUGCAGUGAGGAAUAUUGGUCAAUGGGCGCGAGCCUGAACCAGCCAAGUAGCGUGAAGGAUGACUGCCCUACGGGUUGUAAACUUCUUUUAUAAAGGAAUAAAGUGAGGCACGUGUGCCUUUUUGUAUGUACUUUAUGAAUAAGGAUAGGCUAACUCCGUGCCAGCAGCCGCGGUAAUACGGAGGAUCCGAGCGUUAUCCGGAUUUAUUGGGUUUAAAGGGAGCGUAGAUGGGUUGUUAAGUCAGUUGUGAAAGUUUGGGGCUAAACCGUCAAAUUGCAAUUGAUACUGGCAGUCUUGAGUACAGUUGAGGUAGGCGGAAUUCGUGGUGUAGCGGUGAAAUGCUUAGAUAUCACGAAGAACACCGAUUGCGAAGGCAGCUUACUAAACUGCCACUGACAUUGAUGCUCGAAAGUGUGGGUAGCAAACAGGAUUAGAUACCCCUGUAGUC